rnacentral:rRNA from 1 species
AUUGAACGCUGGCGGCAUGCCUUACACAUGCAAGUCGAACGGUAACGGGCCUUCGGGUGCCGACGAGUGGCGAACGGGUGAGUAAUGUAUCGGAACGUACCUUUCAGUGGGGGAUAACGUAGCGAAAGUUACGCUAAUACCGCAUAAUCUGUGAGCAGGAAAGCAGGGGAUCGCAAGACCUUGCGCUGAUUGAGCGGCCGAUGUCAGAUUAGCUAGUUGGUGAGGUAAAGGCUCACCAAGGCGACGAUCUGUAGCGGGUCUGAGAGGAUGAUCCGCCACACUGGAACUGAGACACGGUCCAGACUCCUACGGGAGGCAGCAGUGGGGAAAUUUGGACAAUGGGGGCAACCCUGAUCCAGCCAUGCCGCGUGAGUGAAGAAGGCCUUCGGGUUGUAAAGCUCUUUCGGUCGGGAAGAAAUCGCAUGGGUUAAUACCCUGUGCGGAUGACGGUACCGGCAUAAGAAGCACCGGCUAACUACGUGCCAGCCGCCGCCGUAA